rnacentral:rRNA from 1 species
UACGGGGGGGGCAAGCGUUGUUCGGAAUCACUGGGCUUAAAGGGCGCGUAGGCGGGUGGCCAAGUCGGUGGUGAAAUCCUCCAGCUCAACUGGAGAAUUGCCUUCGAUACUGGGUUGUCUUGAGGGGGUAGGGGCAGACGGGAACUUCCGGGUGGAGCGGUGAAAUGCGCAGAUAUCAGGAAGAACACCCGUGGCGAAGGCGGCUCUCUGGGACGGGUAC